AGUGAACGCUGGCGGUAGGCCUAACACAUGCAAGUCGAACGGCAGCACAGUAAGAGCUUGCUCUUACGGGUGGCGAGUGGCGGACGGGUGAGGAAUACAUCGGAAUCUACUUUUUCGUGGGGGAUAACGUAGGGAAACUUACGCUAAUACCGCAUACGACCUACGGGUGAAAGCAGGGGAUCUUCGGACCUUGCGCGAUUGAAUGAGCCGAUGUCGGAUUAGCUAGUUGGCGGGGUAAAGGCCCACCAAGGCGACGAUCCGUAGCUGGUCUGAGAGGAUGAUCAGCCACACUGGAACUGAGACACGGUCCAGACGCCUACGGGAGGCAGCAGUGGGGAAUAUUGGAAAAGGGGCGCAAGCCUGAUCCAGCCAGACCGCGUGGGUGAAGAAGGCCUUCGGGUUGUAAAGCCCUUUUGUUGGGAAAGAAAAGCAGCAGGUUAAUACCCCGCUGUUCUGACGGUACCCAAAGAAUAAGCACCGGCUAACUUCGUG
rnacentral:rRNA from 1 species